GGGCCUGUAGCUCAGCUGGGAGAGCGCUAGAAUCGCACUCUAGAGGUCAUCGGUUCGAUCCCGAUCAGGUCCA
rnacentral:tRNA from 2 species